UGGAAAGAUGGAGUUUUAUUUUCAACUACAACAUCUCAACGCACAGCUUUUUAAACUCAUCAUCAUUUACACCUGUGGAAAAAGAGAGGACGCGAAGAGUACUAACUGCAUACUUGGCCAAUAAAGAAGCUUGAUCUCCGCCAGCAGAGGGCAGACUCUUCCUUUAGCAGAACAGCCUGGCGCUAUGUCCGUCUCCGCGGUGGACCUCCGUGCUUCAUCGCUCUGCUGGCUGGCUAAGUCACUGCAGGCCCACGGUUUAAUUCAGUUCCUGCCAAUCCAGUUCAUUUAAGGCAACCCACAGAAACUUCUGUUUCCCGUGGAGCUGAGCAUGAUUCACUGAUGAAGUUUCCAGUGUGGGGCCAUCACAGAGCCGCUGCCAAUAUCAACGCCCCCCCCUCCCCUCCUCCUGGCUGUGGGAGUGAAGCAUGCUGGGAGACAGCAGGACUGUUUAUGUGGGUGGCAGUGCCCAGGGGCCAGCUCUGGGAGAUCUAAUGCAUGUUAUUCAGAUCAGUGUCACCAGGGAGUUUCUGGGUAGGGCUGUGAGUGUGCGUGUGAAUGUAUGCCGAGUGGGCUGCGGUGGUCUGUGCUCCAUGUACAAAGGCGGCAGAUCCUCUCUGACAGAUGCCACAGUCCAGACCCUCAUCACAGGAAGUCAUUCAUAUUGCUAUUUGCUUAUCACAGGCCCUCUGUGGGCUUCACUGGGCUAGAGUUAACCUCCCCUUGACAGGACACAAGCAAGACCUGCCUCUCUUUUCCCAGAAUCCAGAGCCCUGAACCUCUCAUAACUCAGACGCUCUAAUUGGUUGUCAGUGUUUCCCUUCGCUCAUGAACACUGCUCAUGUUUAACGGUUUCUAACAGACCCUGAGUGUCAUAUGUAGUGAGAGAUAGAUUUAAAUGAGAAGCACACGUGUGUGAGAA